rnacentral:lncRNA from 1 species
UGCUUUUUGAGCAAUUAAUCUUUUUGCCUUUUCCGUAAAAUGUAUUCUUACAUCAUUCAUCUGAAAUAAUUUCUUGUACUGCUUCCCGAGAGCGUUUUUUGGUUCCAUUAGAACCUGAACAAGUUGAUCCUCGGUUAGAGCGGUCAAACUAACUAAAAUUGGAAACCGUCCUAUGAACUCGGGUAUCAGUCCAUAAGCUAUAAGAUCA